ACCACCGGAACCACCCAACCUGCCAUCCCUCCUCUGCUCUUCUCUAGUCUUCAUCCACCCAUGGCUCCCAACGUUAAGGCAUCCAUCGGCACCGCUGUUUUUCGCACAACUCAAGUGGAGAAGAUGAUGUUCUACCUUCCCCAGCCACCUACCCAGAAAAGAUGCCAUAGCCGACACCUUCGAAUUACCCACCACCGACGAAGGGAUUGGUUUUCAAUCCAGGAGCUUGGUUUAUCUUUCAAUGAGUCAGAUCAUCUCUCGCGAAGACACUUCAAUUUGGGUGUGCGUUUGGAUAAAUAUAUUGCCAUGGUUAAGCAAUAUAACACUUAUUGCAAUGAUAUAUACUAUUAGAUUAUCGCCCUAUGAGUAUGUGACCAGUGAUUGGUUAAUUUUUGUCUUGCAAUUACUGAGAUGUAUACUUCAUUUCAUGCCAUGCCAUAGUAUAAAGAUUGCUCCCUCUUUGCAAAUAUAUAAGCAUGGUUGUAAUUAUAUUAAUUGCCACAAAUCUGUAAAUCAAUACCACUUUGCUACUAUUGUGCCCGACUUUUGGGACUGGCAUAUAGCCUUGCCCAGCAUCA